rnacentral:rRNA from 1 species
AGUGAGGAAUAUUGCGCAAUGGGGGCAACCCUGACGCAGCGACGCCGCGUGGAUGAUGAAGGCCUUCGGGUUGUAAAAUCCUGUCAGAUGGGAAGAAAUGUAUGGGUAUUAAUAGUGCCCGUAUUUGACGGUACCAUCAAAGGAAGCACCGGCUAACUCCGUGCCAGCAGCCGCGGUAAUACGGAGGGUGCGAGCGUUGUUCGGAAUUACUGGGCGUAAAGCGCGCGUAGGCGGCUCUUUAAGUCAUUUGUGAAAGUCCACGGCUCAACCGUGGAAGUGCAUGUGAAACUGGAGGGCUUGAGUACUGGAGGGGGUGGUGGAAUUCCCGGUGUAGAGGUGAAAUUCGUAGAUAUCGGGAGGAAUACCGGUGGCGAAGGCGACCACCUGGCCAGAUACUGACGCUGAGGUGCGAAAGCGUGGGGAGCAGACAGGAUUAGAUACCCUGGUAGUCCACGCCGUAAACGAUGUCAACUAGGUGUUGGGAUGGUUAAUCGUCUCAUUGCCGGAGCAAACGCAUUAAGUUGACCGCCUGGGGAGUACGGUCGCAAGAUUA